rnacentral:SRP_RNA from 1 species
GCCAGGCACGGUGGUACGUGCCUGUAGUCCCAGCUAUUUGGGAGGCUGAGGCUGGAGGAUCUCUUGAGCCCAGGAGUUCUGGGUUGUAGUGCGCUAUGCUGAUCAGGUGUCCGCACUAAGUUCGGCAUCAAUAUGGUGACCUCCCGGGAUCGGGGGACCACCAGGUUGCUUAAGGAGGGGUGAACCAGCCCAGGUCAGAAACGGAGCAGGUUAAACUCCCGUGCUGAUCAGUAGUGGGAUUGCGCCUGCGAACAGCCUGGGCAACAUAGCGAGACCCUGUCUCU